rnacentral:rRNA from 1 species
AACGCGAAGAACCUUACCCAGGCUUGACAUCUUUGGAAUCUUUCCGAAAGGAAAGAGUGCUUUAUUGAACCAAAUGACAGGUGCUGCAUGGCCGUCGUCAGCUCGUGUCGUGAGAUGUAUGGUUAAGUCCAUCAACGAGCGCAACCCUUAUGAUUAGUUGAAUUUUUCUAGUCAGACUGCCCUGGUAACAGGGAGGAAGGAGGGGUCGAAGUCAGGUCAGUAUUGCCCUUACGUCUGGGGCUACAAACACGCUACAAUGGCCGGUACAAAGGGCUGCCAAGUCGCGAGACGGAGCAAAUCCCAUCAAAGCCGGUCCCAGUUCGGAUAGUAGGCUGAAACUCGCCUGCUUGAAGUCGGAAUCGCUAGUAACGGUAGGUCAGCUAUACUACCGUGAAUACGUUUCCGGGCCUUGUACACACCGCGUGUCU